rnacentral:rRNA from 1 species
GAGUUUGAUUAUGGCUCAGGACAAACGCUGGCGGCGUGCAUAACACAUGCAAGUCGAACGAAAUCUACAUGAUUUAGUGGCGAACGGGUGAGUAACACGUGAGAAACCUGCCUUACACAGAGGGAUAGCCGUUGGAAACGACGAUUAAUACCUCAUGACACCGUGACAUCGCAUGAUGAUGCGGUCAAAGAUUUAUCGGUGUAAGAUGGUCUCGCGCCUGAUUAGCUGGUUGGUGGGGUAACGGCCUACCAAGGCGACGAUCAGUAGCCGAUCUGAGAGGGUGGACGGCCACAUUGGGACUGAGACACGGCCCAAACUCCUACGGGAGGCAGCAGUGGGGAAUUUUGCACAAUGGGGGAAACCCUGAUGCAGCGACGCCGCAUGAACGAAGAAGGCCUUCGGGUUGUAAAGUUCUGUCCUUGGUGAAGAUAAUGACA